rnacentral:rRNA from 1 species
UACGUAGGGUGCGAGCGUUGUCCGGAAUUAUUGGGCGUAAAGGGCUCGUAGGCGGUUUGUCGCGUCGGGAGUGAAAACCCAGGGCUUAACCCUGGGCUGGCUUCCGAUACGGGCAGACUAGAGGUAUGCAGGGGGAGAACGGAAUUCCUGGUGUAGCGGUGAAAUGCGCAGAUAUCAGGAGGAACACCGGUGGCGAAGGCGGGUCUCUGGGCCGAUACUGACGCUGAGGAGCGAAAGCGUGGGGAGCGAACAGG